CCAUGUAGGGCUCCCGCAGCGCCCGGCUGAAGGCGGAGAAGAGGAGGCAGGACACUAAGAAGGUCAACAACAGAAAGGUAUACAAAUUAACUCAACAUAAGUUUUAUGAGACACAGAAGACUUCAUAAGGAGUAAAGUACCAAAGAAACCGUUCAACCUGAGCAUUUCUAUGCUAGGUUUGAGGAACAUUGGAAAGCUGUGGAAGAAUAUGAUAGGACAAAGGGUAUGAGAUGCCUGCUAAUAGCCAUGUCAUCAUACAAGAAGUGUUGGGGCAAGUGGGAGACUGGAGAGAGCCUGACCGAGACGCAGGGGUGCAGAGGGUGAUUGGCUGCCACUGGGAGACAAACAGACAAAACCCUGCACACUUUCCUGGCCCCCCAGUCAAGAGAUGGGAAAGCCUUAGUCAUCUGGGAAAGAUUGUCAUCAGUGCCUUCUGGACCACCAAUAGCUUGGCCCCCUUGGUCAAGGUCAUCUGUGAUAACUUCAGCAUUGUGGAGGAACUCCUGACCACAGUCUAUACCACCACUACCACCUAGAAGAUUGUGGAUGGACCCUCUAGGAAGCUGUGGCAUGUUAGCCAUGGAGUUGCCUAGAACAUCAUCCAUGCUUCUACUGGUGCUGCCAAGGUUGUGGGCAAGGUCAUUUCUGAGAUGAAAAAGGAACUCACUGGUCUGGCCUUCUGUGUCACCACCACCGGUAUGUCAGUCAUGGAUCUGAUCUACUGUCUGGAGGUGAAGCAGACAUGGAGGGCCACCUAAAGGGCAUUCUGAGCACCUGGAAGACCAGGUUGUCUCCCGUGACUUUAACAGUGACACCCACUCCUCCACCUUCGAUGUUGGGUUGGCAUUGCCCUCAAUAACCACUUUGUCAAGCUCAUUUUCUGGUAUGACAACAAUGAAUUUUGCUAUGGUAACAGGGUGGUAACCUUAUGGCCCGCAUAGCCUCCAAGGAAUAAGAGCCUCCUGGACCACCAGCCUUAGAAAAAGCAAGGCAGGAAGAGAGAGGCCCUCAGCGGCUGAGGAAUCUGCAACUCGAUCACCCACCACACUGAGAAUUUCACAUCCUCAACAGGUUCCAUCCCAGGCCCCCAGAGGAAGGGGAGGGACUUAGGGAGCCCUCCCUUGUCAUGUUCCAUCAAUAAAGUACACUACCCAGACAAAAAAUAAAAAAAGUCAUCUAGGACUACUUGAGUGAUUGGAAAAGACUGGGUCCUAGGAAACAUCAAGAAGUCAUUUGCCCGCGUCUGUACGAUGCCGCUUGCCUAAGAAUCUGUAACUAAUUCAGUCUAGAAAACAGUUUGGUGAAG